CUGCCAUUCCGUCCUCAAUUUGAAUUCCUGUUCAUGUCUCUCAAAACACUUCUUUAAUGGAGUGUAGCUCUUGAAAGGAUCUGACUCCUGUUGGAUAUCAAAUACACAUCUCAAGCCAAACAUAUCAAAUCCCAAAGUCAUUUUUGCCAGGUUUUCCUCUUAAGCAACGAGGCUCAAAUGUUCACCCAGUUACCCAGACCGAAACCAGAUUUUACAGUCAGUGCUUCCACUGUUUCUGGGAGCUCUGCCAUCUACCUUCUCCCUGAGGCACGCUGCUCCUCAGCAUGCCCACAGCCGCCAUCACUGCCCUAACCCUGCCAUGGUCUAUUGCCCUCUGAAAGGCUGCUUCCAAGCCCUCAUGUUGCUCUGCCUACCCAGCCCCAUCAAAUCAUGACGCGCCCACCCAGGUGACACCCCACGUCCUUCAGUCUGUCCUGUCCUGCGAGAGGCUGCUGGCAUUUUCCCGAGCUGUGUCUCUCCUCUCCCAUGCAGACGGCCGUUUGUCUGAUGGACCUGUGACCCUGGACCUCUGGCCGUGAGGUCAGGGCGGAAGUCUUCCAUGGAAGAGGGGUCCUCACGCCUGAAUCCCUGUGGCCCUGACAGAUCAGCGUGGCCCAGCCGCAGCCCCAGCCAGAAGACUGCAGGGAGCUCCAGCCUCGAGUUCCGGACCCCUGGGGGCAGCUCCUGCUUUCAGAAGUUGUGGCGGAAGGUAAAUAAAGUUUCCCACAUCCGAUGGCUUGAAGAGUACAUACAGUUCAGUGGCUGUGAGGUCUGCCCGCCCUGGUGUGUAGGCAACACAUCA
rnacentral:lncRNA from 9 species